GCCGGCCUCCUCUUCAUCCUCCCGCGUCCUCCCGGGCUCGCGCCGCUGUCACUGGAGCCCGCAUCCUCCGCCUCCCGCCGCCGCCGCGACCCCGCACCGGGAAUCAAGCCGGCGCGGAAAACCGCAAGCUUGACUCCACGCCCACCUGACUGGACUGAGAAAACCGAAGAAGUUGGUGAGGGUACAGCAAUAAAUAGCAGGAGGAGCAGAAUUUGAAACAGCAGCAUGCCGGUCCUGCGCCUGGUGAAGGAUGACUCGCCAGAAAGCAAAGGCGCAGACCUACCUCCGCGAGCUUGGCGCGUGGCCCAGGAGGCUCCGCGAGCCCUUGUACGUAAGGAUCGUGGCGCCCACGCUUGAGAGCAGAGCUCAGUGCAAACUUCCAACAGUUCUUCCAGUUUCCAGGGAAACGAGAUUUGGAGCUGCUGCGCGUUGCAGAGCUGCCUCUCUGCUCCCCACAUGGGACCCCUGUGGCUGGCUGGUCUUGAGGAGGAAGGAAUUGAAGCCACCUCAUCCUUGAAGGAGAAUCAGAGAGAUGAUUGAUUCUCCAUGCCUGGCCUCUUUUGUUCCACGUAUGUUUGUGAAGUGUGUCCAUGACGCUGUACACAGCGAUAGCUCACUCAUUGCUGAUAAUGAAGCCCAGCAGCUUACCCAUUUCACUGCAGUAAACAACAUAUUGCUUCUUGUUUGUGUGUCCUGAAUCACGGAGACAUGCACUGUACACUUCCAUGAGUUUGGACAGUUGUCUACAUUUAUACAAACGACCACCUCUGGACUCACUGCUGUUCCAGCUUCUGCAAAUGCUAAGCUCAGCGUUUCCCCACACCAGGUCCGUGUGCUAAAGGUUUUAUUACAGUAUUUCCUAUGCAUGGUUGCAUGCAGUGGACAAUCUUGUCUGCCUGGUUUCAGUGCCUUUCAGACUUGUCCAAACUCUUGCAAGAAUCGAUUGAAUGUACUUAUUGCUGAAUAGAAUUCUAGUAAAAAGUGUUUCUCCAUUCACGACA
rnacentral:lncRNA from 1 species